UACGUAGGGUGCGAGCGUUGUCCGGAAUUAUUGGGCGUAAAGCGCGCGUAGGUGGCUUCGUAAGUCCGUUGUGAAAGUCAAAGGCUCAACCUUUGAAAGCCGAUGGAUACUGCGGAGCUAGAGUACGGAAGAGGCGAGUGGAAUUCCUGGUGUAGCGGUGGAAUGCGCAGAUAUCAGGAGGAACACCAAUAGCGAAGGCAGCUCGCUGGGACGUUACUGACACUGAGGCGCGAAAGCGUGGGGAGCGAACAGG
rnacentral:rRNA from 1 species